rnacentral:rRNA from 1 species
UACGGAGGGUGCGAGCGUUAUCCGGAAUCACUGGGCGUAAAGGGCGCGUAGGCGGUCUAGUAAGUCCGAUGUUAAAGAGCGGGGCUCAACCCCGUCACGGCGUUGGAUACUGCUGGGCUUGACGGCUGGAGAGGCGAGUGGAAUUACCAGUGUAGCGGUGGAAUGCGUAGAUACUGGUAGGAACACCCAUUGCGAAGGCAGCUCACUGGACAGCACGUGACGCUGAGGCGCGAAGGUGUGGGGAGCAAACCGGAUUAGAUACCCGGGUAGUCCACACCCUAAACGAUGCACAUUUGGUGUCGGCCCGGUGGGGUCGGCGCCGGAGUUAACGCGUUAAAUGUGCCGCCUGGGAAGUACGGCCGCAAGGUUGAA